CCUACGGGAGUCAGCAGUGAGGAAUAUUGGUCAAUGGGCGGAAGCCUGAACCAGCCAAGUCGCGUGAGGGAAUAAGGCCCUACGGGUCGUAAACCUCUUUUGCCGGGGAGCAAGGGCCGGGACGCGUCCCGGCCCGGAGAGUACCCGGAGACAAAGCAUCGGCUAACUCCGUGCCAGCAGCCGCGGUAAUACGGAGGAUGCGAGUGUUAUCCGGAUUUAUUGGGGUUAAAGGGUGCGUAGGCGGGCUUUUAAGUCAGCGGUAAAAAUUUGGGGGUCAACCCCGGCCGGCCGUUGAAACUGGGGGCAUGGAGUGGGCGAGAAGAAGGCGGAAUGCGUGGUGUAGCGGUGAAAUGCAUAGAUAGCACGCAGAACCCCGAUUGCGAAGGCAGCCUGCCGGCGCCCGACUGACGCUGAGGCACGAAAGUGCGGGGAUCGAACAGGAUUAGAUACCCCGGUAGUC
rnacentral:rRNA from 1 species